GUCCUGGCAGUAAACGGUGCACGCUUGGUGUGGCAGGAAUCGACCCCUGCCGUGCCGGAGCUAACGCGUUAAGCGUGCCGCCUGGGAAGUACGGUCGCAAGAUUAAAACUCAAAGAAAUUGACGGGGACCCGCACAAGCGGUGGAGUAUGUGGCUUAAUUCGAUGCAACGCGAAGAACCUUACCUGGGCUUGACAUGCAUUCUGUCAUCGGUGAAAGCCGGUUAGUGGAGCAAUCCACGGUUUGCACAGGUGUUGCAUGGCUGUCGU
rnacentral:rRNA from 1 species